rnacentral:rRNA from 1 species
AGAUUGAACGCUGGCGGCAUGCUUUACGCAUGCAAGUCGAACGGUAACAGGCCGCAAGGUGCUGACGAGUGGCGAACGGGUGAGUAAUGCAUCGGAACGUGCCCAGUCGUGGGGGAUAACGCAGCGAAAGCUGUGCUAAUACCGCAUACGAUCUAUGGAUGAAAGCGGGGGACCGAAAGGCCUCGCGCGAUUGGAGCGGCCGAUGUCAGAUUAGCUAGUUGGUGGGUAAAGGCCCACCAAGGCGACGAUCUGUAGCUGGUCUGAGAGGACGACCAGCCACACUGGAACUGAGACACGGUCCAGACUCCUACGGGAGCAGCAGUAGGGGAAUUUUGGACAAGUAGGGGAAACCCGUGAUCCAGCCAUCCCGCGUGU